rnacentral:lncRNA from 1 species
AAAGAACUAAUCGAAUCGUAUGAAAUAAACAACAUUAUAAUUGAGAAUUUAGAAAUAUAUAAUAAUUUGAAAAAAAAAAUAAAUGAUGAUUUUUAUUUUAUUGGCGUGUUAAAAGAGGAAUUAAACAAAUUCAUGAAAAAGAAAAACAUAAAACAUAUAAUUGAAUAUAUCAUGUCGGAAAAGAAGUUAGUAGAAAAAGUAUUGUUAGAAAAGGGCAUAACAAAGGGCCUUGGAACAAACUUUUGUAGUGAUGUACAAACAAAUAAUAAAAUAGCAUUAACCGAUAUAUAUAAUUUUGUAAGUUUUGCAAAUCAUUUGGUAUGUGAAGAAGGGGUAGGAGGAGCGGUAGGAACAGGGGUAGAUACAAUGAUACAAACAGAAGAAAUAAAAAAAAAAAAAAAAAUUGAAAAAACAAAAGGCGAUGAUUAUUACAAUAAUAAUAAUGUAAGUAACAAGCAUAAUAUAUUAAACGAGAAAAUAAACAGGUGGUUAGAAUCAAAUAAAUCAAAAAUAGCAAUUACAGAGGUAAUAACAAAAAAUAACUCAAAUGAUAAAUUAGUGGAAUAUUUUAAAAUUAUGAAGCUAUUAAAUAUAAGAGGAAACAAAAUAAAAGAGCUAUUAAAAAAAAUACGUACUGGGAAAAAGUAUUACCAUAUUAAAAUUAGUAACGAUGAUGAUAUGGAAGGAGUUAAUGGAAGUUAUGUUAAUUCUGUUGGGGAAAAUGUAUGUGGUCAGAAUGGGAAUUAUAACUUGAGUGAUAGUUCCAAACAGUACGAUAAUUUAAGAUCACACGAUAGUGAUAACAAUAGUUUUCCUCUUGGACAGAAGUCUUUAGAAAACAUGAUUUAUCUACAGGUAAUAAACAAAAUGAACACAAAAUUAGUUAAUAACUUAAAUUUAUGUAAUUCAUUAAAAGAGUUGAUUAUUUGUAAUGUUUUUAUGAGUAGUUGCAUAUCAAAUAUAAAUAUAAUAAAUUAUAUAAUUUUAAUGUAUUUAAAAAAUGAGACAGUUAAUGCAUUAAUGAAAAAUAAUAAUACUCCUAAAAGAGCAGAUGAAAAUAGUUUGGAUAUACAUCACGAUUUUGACUUAAACAAAAAUAAUGGCC